AGCUCGGUCUGUGUACAAGACGCUUUCUGCCAUUGUGCUUUUACACGGAACAGCUGC
rnacentral:pre_miRNA from 1 species